GACAUCCGUCGAUUUCAAAAAUCGUGAGG
rnacentral:tRNA from 3 species